CGCGUUCGUAGAGGAAGUUGGUGACCAUGCGCUGCGUGGCGAGCAGCGCCGCGUGCCAGUGUUCGAGCUGCUGGACGCGC
rnacentral:tRNA from 1 species